AGAUUAUCCAAACUCUCAGGUAUUGGCUACUAUGUAAGCCAUAUUCAUACCGGAUCGUGUCAUGACUAUGAUACUCAUCAGGAUGGUGCCCACCCGCCCGGCAUGCGCCCGUCACUCUGUACCCUGCACACAAU
rnacentral:ncRNA from 18 species